rnacentral:lncRNA from 1 species
CUUGGGCAUGUGCCCCUGUGCCCGGCUUAAGUGGCAGCUUUGGAAGGCUGGUGUCCACCCAGCCAAGCACCUUGUCCAGCCCUUGUCCCAGGAGAUUCACACGAGAUUCUCAGGGGAUCUUGGUUGUCUUCCCGCUUCCCAGUGGGAACUGAAAUUGAAAACAGAAAAAGGGCAGGGUUGUGGCUCAGUGGUUAAGAGCCCCUGGGCUCAAUCCUCAGUACCCUCCCGCCCCCCAAAAAAAGAGGUGAUGGGGUAUUGCUGUUAUUGCAGGAGUAGGUGGCUGAUUCCAGGAUGAAUCUGGGGCUGGCCAUGUGGCUUGGCCAGCAUGCCCAAGACCCUGGGUUCAACUCUCAGCAGCACCAAAAAAUGCACGCCUGUCAUCCCAGCAGCUAGGGAGGCCGAGGCAGGAGGAUGGCAAAUUCAAGGCCUGCUUCAGCAACUUAGUGAGGCCCUAAGAAACUUAGUGAGACCCUGUCUCAAAAUAAAAAUUAAAAAGGGCUGAGGAUAUGGCUCAGUUUUUUGUACCUUGGUACAAAAAAAUAUAUAAAUGCUGGGAAACACGGGUUCGGCCAUCUGUCCCCGCAUGGUGCCCACUUGCCCAUCUGCUCGUCGUUGUCCCAGCCUGGGGUACCCUGACACAGCAACAGAAAAUGGACUGAGGCAGGUGGCCUCUCUCUGCCCUGCUCUGGGCUGGUGGCCGUGAAGCCGUGAAGAGGCCCCUACGCCUGAUGCUUCCAGCCAACCUCCAGUGGAGACCGGGGCUUGCCAGCGGCUGUAUAGUGAACUUGGCAUUGAUCGUACACCACCGAGCCUUGAGGUGACCUUAUGGCUGACACUCUGCUGUGGCCCUGAACCAGAGACACCCAACUAAAGGCCAUCCAGCUUUCGGACCCACGGGAAAUGUGAGAAAUGUUGUUCUUAUUUAGUGUCGAAGUUUGGGGGUCGGUUGUUCCACAGCAACGGUGACUAGUACUGUGCCAGGGGGUCCCUGCUGAAAGUCUGUCAGGAGGGACGACGGGAAGGCUCCUCACCAAAGAAUCUCAGCUCUUAUGUGUCCUGAAGUUCUGUGAUAUUCAUCGUGUCAAAGAAUCAUCUCUUGGUUUUGCUUUCUUCGUUAUUUUCUUCCUUUGUGUUGACUGACUUUUUCCUUUAACUUUUAUUUUAUGAUUCCUGGUGUCUUGAGAUUGAAUGCUUAAUGCAUUAAUUCUUCACCUUUCUUUUUACUAACAAAUCCACUUCAGGGCUAUCAGUUUUCCUAGGAAUGCCACCGUGGCCACUUGUGAUAGGCUUUGAGACGUUCUGCUCACUGCUCUAAAUAUCAUCCUUGAAUCAGUCCGAUGGCCAAAAAGUUGUUCUUCGCGCUCAAAAAGUGCCGAACACACACGUAUCAACGACUUACUGAAUAACAAAAAUAACAUCGAUCAUCAUCAUCACCACUGGGAGGAGGAUCGGCUAAGGAAAGGAUGCUACGGAGAAACAGGAGUCUUUUUGCAGAAUCACGAUCUUCGAAUGCCCCCUCUGGCCAUGCUGCUUGGGUCGCUGUCACUGUACCGUGGGGACUAAAAUGGCUACCGAAGCAGGUUCCUAGGACUCAGUGAUGCUCUCUUCCUAAGCUGCCCUAGAUGAGCAGGGACAGGGGCCGGCAGGGAGGACAUCACCCAGCUGUCCUCAAGGGUCCCCCUACUGUAAACACAAGCACAUGCAUGACUUUAAUCAGGAUUGAGGGCAUCCAUAGAAGGAAAGUACAAAAUCCAGCCCAGUCUUGAAGAGACCAAGCCUGGGGGCAGAUAGCUGGGGCAGGGAAAUAACUAGAAAACCACUGAUCCCCCUUGGUGGAAGGCCUCAGGCUUCCCAGGACCCUGGGGCAAGAAAGGGUCCUCUAAUGUCCUAUGAGAAAUCUUGUUUCUACCACUUCCUUGCUGUGUGACCUCAGGCCAAGUUAGUUAACCUCUCUGAGUUCAGUUUUCCUUUUCUGUAAAAUGAAAGAACAGUGUUGAGAGGAUAAAAGGAAAUAAUCAUUAAUACUUAUCAGGUGUUAUUUAAGAUUAUGAUCGGGAGCACAGAGCCUCGUCUAUGGAGGCUGUGGGGCAGCCUCUCACUGGCAUCUGGAAGCUGUGUCCAAGCCCGAGGCCUGGGGGAAGGUUCUCCUUACAGUCCCCAGACCCCGUGUGACUCCCCAGCUCCUGGGUCCCCCCUGCCUUCCCGGUCCUCUACCUACACACAUGUGCAUGAUGCACACCCAUGUCUGUAUGCACACAUAUGAUCCUACUUUAUAGAACCAUUGAAUGAACUCAUCAAUAUUACACAUCAACAUUUUUUCAAC